GUGUCAGCAGCCGCGGUAAUACGGAGGGGGCUAGCGUUGUUCGGAAUUACUGGGCGUAAAGGGCGCGUAGGCGGGCGCAUAAGUCGGGGGUGAAAUCCCGGGGCUCAACCCCGGAACUGCCUCCGAUACUGUGUGCCUUGAGGACGGGAGAGGUGAGUGGAAUUCCGAGUGUAGAGGUGAAAUUCGUAGAUAUUCGGAGGAACACCGGUGGCGAAGGCGGCUCACUGGCCCGAUCCUGACGCUGAGGCGCGAAAGCGUGGGGAGCAAACAGGAUUAGAUACCCUGGUAGUCCACGCCCUAAACGAUGAGUGCCAGUUGUUGGCGGGUAUGCCCGUCAGUGACGCAGCUAACGCUUUGAGCACUCCGCCUGGGGAGUACGGCCGCAAGGUUAAAACUUAAAGGAAUUGACGGGG
rnacentral:rRNA from 1 species